UUUUUUGGUUGUUUUUUAUUUCAACUUUGAUUUCCAACAGAAUUUUCCCACAAUGAGGGUUUGAAGCUCUUAACAAUACUGAAGAAUUACCCAGACAUGUGUUAUAAGGUCUGUUUUUAAUAGUCUCAAAAGAGAUUUCUCCCCGGGGAGAAAAUGCAACGGUGAUCUAGACGAUUCACACACAUUCGCAUAAUCCAGAACAUUCCUCUACAGCAGGAGGACUCUGGAAUGUACCACAUGUAAACAAACGACCACAUUCCUUCUUAAACUUUGAACAUUAAUCGUAUUAGGAGAAUUUAUUCUGCUGAGUGUUGAACAGGUGCGAGAAUUGUUGUGUCUCACAUGAACAUUGGACUCAAAUAUGUGGACUGAGCAAUGGUCUUAGGCAAAGGUCUAAGCAGUGUGGUGUUUGGUUUCUGAAAAUGGCUGUUGUGACAGCUGGUGAGACAAAAUGCUGGUGGGUCACUUCUUAGUGUCUCUUGGACGUUUCCUGCAGCCAGCGGUGCGCUACAGUAGGGUCUGCCAGCUUGAAGCAAUGGGCUUUUCAUUGUCCUAGAAUGCGGGAGCAAUCUACAGACAGUGAGGGCUUGAUUCACCACUCAGACUCAAAUUUUGAAGUGGAAAACUCCAGCAGGCACAAGCGCAAUUUGCUACCAGGAUGCGAAUCAGCAAGUCCAAGCCUGAGGCUGUUGUCCCUUAUAAGAUGUCAGCGUCCAAUCCCACUCCUUGCUGCCUGAACUUGCUUUUUCCAAGAACUGAGACUGUGCAGAAAAUGUGGCUCUGGACUAUUAUCACACCUGCAAUAAAUAUGCAACAUAUGCAAAGAGAUAACUCGCCUGUGUCAUUUUGCCUGAAUUCUUGAUGUUCUUUAUGGGAGGAAUAAAUUU